CCAGCACCCGCGGUAAUUCCAGCUCCAAUAGCGUAUAUUAAAGUUGUUGCAGUUAAAAAGCUCGUAGUUGGAUUUGUGACGGGCUCUGGGGCGCCGCAAAUGUGGUUGCUUCGGGGCCUGUCAUCUUUGGGUGGAACCUGUGUGGCAUUAGGUUGUCGUGCAGGGGAUGCCCAUCGUUUACUGUGAGAAAAUUAGAGUGUUCAAAGCAGGCUUACGCCGUUGAAUAUGUUAGCAUGGAAUAAUGAGAUAGGUCUUGGAAUCUAUUUUGUUGGUUUGCGUUUCCAAGAAAUGAUUAAUAGGGACAGUUGGGGUGAUUCGUAUUCCAUUGUCAGAGGUGAAAUUCUUGGAUUUCUGGAAGACGAACUACUGCGAAAGCAUUUCACAAGGAUGUUUUCAUUAAUCAAGAACGAAAGU
rnacentral:rRNA from 1 species